GGGCUCUUCGGAGCUAGUGGCGGACGGGUGAGUAACGCGUGAGGAUCUGCCCUUAGGACGGGGACAACAGCUGGAAACGGCUGCUAAUACCCGAUGUGCCGAGAGGUGAAACUAUUUGGCCUGAGGAUGAGCUCGCGUCUGAUUAGCUAGUUGGAGUGGUAACGGCACACCAAGGCGACGAUCAGUAGCUGGUCUGAGAGGAUGAUCAGCCACACUGGGACUGAGACACGGCCCAGACUCCUACGGGAGGCAGCAGUGGGGAAUUUUCCGCAAUGGGCGAAAGCCUGACGGAGCAAGACCGCGUGCGGGAGGAAGGUCUAUUGAUUGUAAACCGCUUUUGAUAGGGAAGAAGAUCUGACGGUACCUAUCGAAUCAGCAUCGGCUAACUCCGUGCCAGCAGCCGCGGUAAUACGGGGGAUGCAAGCGUUAUCCGGAAUUAUUGGGCGUAAAGCGUCCGUAGGUGGUUUUAAAAGUCUGUUGUCAAAUCGCGAGGCUUAACCUCGUACAGGCAGUGGAAACUAUAAGACUAGAGUGCGGUAGGGGUAGAGGGAAUUUCCAGUGUAGCGGUGAAAUGCGUAGAUAUUGGAAAGAACACCGGUGGCGAAGGCGCUCUACUGGGCCUGCACUGACACUGAGGGACGAAAGCUAGGGGAGCGAAAGGGAUUAGAUACCCCUGUAGUCCUAGCCGUAAACGAUGGAAACUAGGUGUUGCCCGUAUCGACCCGAGCCGUGCCGAAGC
rnacentral:rRNA from 1 species